UGACCAUUUUGUAUAUUUAGGAAGAUUCCUGUACAAAAUAUAUAGCCAUGCGGACAGCUGGGUCAAAUGCCGA
rnacentral:sRNA from 12 species